rnacentral:rRNA from 1 species
GACGAACGCUGGCGGCGUGCCUAACACAUGCAAGUGGAGCGACGAACCGGGCUUCGGCCCGGGGCCAAGCCGCGAACGGGUGAGUAACACGUGGGUAACCUGCCCUGAUGAUUGGGACAACCCGAGGAAACUCGGGCUAAUACCGAAUGUGCCCUCCGACCAUAAGGUCUGCGGGGAAAGGAAGCUUCGGCCUCCGCAUCGGGAUGGGCCCGCGGCGCAUUAGCUUGUUGGUGAGGUAACGGCUCACCAAGGCGACGAUGCGUAGCUGGUCUGAGAGGACGAUCAGCCACACUGGGACUGAGACACGGUCCAGACUCCUACGGGAGGCAGCAGUGGGGAAUCUUGCGCAAUGCGCGAAAGCGUGACGCAGCAACGCCGCGUGGGGAGAC